ACAGUUGCUCAAUGGUUAGAGCACCUGCUCUCCAUGCAGAAGGUCCCAGGUUCAAUCCCCAAUGGCAAUA